CGGCAGCAGCGGGCGGGGCCGGGCCGGGCCGGGGCCAUGGCCGAGGGCAGGAGCGGCAGCGCCGGGCUCUUCGCCAGGCAGGUCCAGAAGCGCUUCAGCCGAGCCCAGGAGAAGGUUUUGCAAAAAUUGGGCAAAACGGUGGAAACCAAAGAUGAGCAGUUCGAGCAGAGCGCCUACAACUUCCACCUGCAGCAGAACGAGGGUCACAAACUCUACAAGGAGCUCAAGGGGUUCGUGGGAGCCGUGAGAGG